AGAUUGAACGCUGGCGGCAUGCCUAACACAUGCAAGUCGAACGGCAGCGCGGGUAGCAAUACCUGGCGGCGAGUGGCGGACGGGUGAGGAAUACAUAGGAAUCUACCCUGUCGUGGGGGAUAACGUAGGGAAACUUACGCUAAUACCGCAUACGACCGAGAGGUGAAAGCGGCGGACCGCAAGGCGUCGCGCGGCUGGAUGAGCCUAUGUCCGAUUAGCUAGUGGCGGGUAAGAGCCCACAGGCGACGAUCGGUAGCUGGCUGAGAGGAUGAUCAGCCACACUGGGACUGACGACACGGCCCAGACUCCGUACGGGAGGCAGCAGGUGGGGAAUAGUUGGACAAGUCGGGACGCAAGGCCUGGACU
rnacentral:rRNA from 1 species